UACGAGGGGGGCUAGCGUUGUUCGGAGUUACUGGGCGUAAAGGGCGCGUAGGCGGCGCAUCAAGUCAGGCGUGAAAGCCCUGGGCUCAACCCGGGAAUUGCGCUUGAGACUGGUGUGCUCGAGUACGGGAGAGGAUAGUGGAAUUCCCAGUGUAGAGGUGAAAUUCGUAGAUAUUGGGAAGAACACCAGUGGCGAAGGCGGCUAUCUGGACCGUAACUGACGCUGAGGCGCGAAAGCGUGGGGAGCAAACAGG
rnacentral:rRNA from 1 species